GGCACGUUCACGUAUACGGACAACUGUGUGUACAGAGAGGGAGAGAGAGAAGCUGUCAACCCGCGCAACGCACGUUGAUAAAACGCGUCGCCGGCUGCCGCAUCGUAGAGAAGGAUCGCGAUCCUCUGAUUUUCCGCAAACGUAUAUACACACGCGCGCGUUCGAUCUCGAUCCACCGAGACCAAGCGAUAAUCGCGUACAACGACUCGAGCGAAUAGUUCCGCAUUCGUCGGUCCAGUGUCCACGCCGUUCAGUCUUUUGUCGGAGUCGCGUAUCGCUCGUAGGAUCGUAAGAUCGUAGGAUCGAGUGACAGUGAGCGAAGGGAAGACGAGAAUCUGCAAUUCGUCCGGCCCGUGAAGGAAGGAGGAAGAAGAGUAUAAGAGAUAACUUGGCAGAGAGAAAGAGAGCCUAGUUUCCUUGGACACAUCGGCGAGAGGUGUGCUGAGAUCCAGAGAUAAAGUCAGGACCGAGUGCGAAAGCAAAUAACAAAAUGAUGCAUCGACAGCAGAGCGCCCAAUCGUCUUCAUCCAACGACGAGUUCGCGAUGUAUCCAUCGGCCGCGUACCAUUCUUCGUGUUCGACGCUACUUUCGUCGACAUCGACGUCAUCGUCGUCGUCGUCGUCGAGGUCGUCGUCCACGGGAUCGUCUUGCCCGUUCCUGGUGUCCGUCCUUACGUGGUCCUUAACGGUCAUGCUGAUCUCGUCCUGCAUCGGCUUGGGUGCGGACGCCGCCACCCUCAGCGGCCAUCCCCUGGGCAAAAGGUCAUUCUUCGACAUCCAGUGCAAGGGCGUGUACGACAAGAGCAUCUUCGCCCGUCUCGAUCGCAUCUGCGAAGACUGCUACAAUCUCUUCCGGGAACCGCAACUACAUAUGCUCUGCAAGAAAGAAUGUUUCACCACGGACUACUUCAAAGGAUGCUUAGACGUCCUGCUGAUGACGGAUGAGGUUGAAAAAAUCCAAAUGUGGAUCAAGCAACUUCACGGAGCCGAUCCCGGGGUUUAGGUAGCCUUUUCUUUUUAGUUUAUGAUUUUUUCUUUUAUGCGCCCCUUUCUUUUCUCCGCUUAAUGCAAAUAUAAAGAACUAACCGCGCCCGCUUGCUCCCCUAUUAUCCUCCCUUGUCUGCUGUCGUUCCAAUAUACGUCCAUUCGUCGGAAAAAAAAAAUGAUUUCGAUUUGCACUCGCAUAUUCUUCGCAUAUAUUGAAUGUAUGUAAAUGUACCUCGUAAUAUUUACAAACCAAAGUUCAAAGAAUCUAGACAAUUUUUUAUUACACGGUACGCAAUGACGGAUAUGUAAAAAUUGUGAAUAUGUAAUUAAAAGCAGUGAUCGAGUUGUUUCGCAGCGGUGUUUGGAUCGAAAGCCAUAUGCAAAAUACUUGAAGUAAGAUUAAUCGAAUAACUUUUUGCUGAGUUAAUUAACAAACGUUGAAUAAAUGCAUUAUUAGAAGAAAUAGAAAAAUUUUAUAUAAAAAAUACCGGUUGAUUGAAUUUCUACUUGUAUUUUAUUUUGACACAUUCACCAAUCCUUUUUGUUAUUAUUUUCAAUUAUAUUUUUGUUGCAUUUUGACACCACCCCCUGGAUGAAUACCCGCGCGUAUUAUAGUAUCUUCGCACCGAGAUAAUGAGUACGAGAGAUUAGGAGAAAUUGCUUCAGCACACAAUACUUCACGAGCUGCAUCCAAGCGCUGCUGCUUGAGGACGAGAAGGAAAGGUUGGAGGAGAU
rnacentral:misc_RNA from 1 species